AGAACGAACGCUGGCGGCAGGCCUAACACAUGCAAGUCGAACGCCGUAGCAAUACGGAGUGGCAGACGGGUGAGUAACGCGUGGGAACGUACCCUUUGGUUCGGAACAACUCCGGGAAACUGGAGCUAAUACCGGAUAAGCCCUACGGGGGAAAGAUUUAUCGCCGAAGGAUCGGCCCGCGUCGGAUUAGCUAGUUGGUGGGGUAAUGGCCUACCAAGGCAACGAUCCGUAGCUGGUCUGAGAGGAUGAUCAGCCACACUGGGACUGAGACACGGCCCAGACUCCUACGGGAGGCAGCAGUGGGGAAUAUUGGACAAUGGGCGCAAGCCUGAUCCAGCCAUGCCGCGUGAGUGAUGAAGCCCUAGGGUUUAGACGUCUUCGU
rnacentral:rRNA from 1 species